rnacentral:rRNA from 1 species
GGUCAAGUGAAGAAGCGCAUACGGUGGAUGCCUUGGCAGUCAGAGGCGAUGAAAGACGUGGUAGCCUGCGAAAAGCUUCGGGGAGUCGGCAAACAGACUGUGAUCCGGAGAUGUCUGAAUGGGGGAACCCAGCCAUCACAAGAUGGUUAUCUUACACUGAAUACAUAGGUGUAAGAGGCGAACCAGGGGAACUGAAACAUCUAAGUACCCUGAGGAAAAGAAAUCAACCGAGAUUCCCUUAGUAGUGGCGAGCGAACGGGGACCAGCCCUUAAGUUGUAUUGAGAUUAGCGGAACGCUCUGGAAAGUGCGGCCAUAGUGGGUGAUAGCCCUGUACGCGAAAAUCCCUUUGCAAUGAAAUCGAGUAGGACGGGGCACGAGAAACCUUGUCUGAAUAUGGGGGGACCAUCCUCCAAGGCUAAAUACUACUGACUGACCGAUAGUGAACCAGUACCGUGAGGGAAAGGCGAAAAGAACCGCGGAGAGCGGAGUGAAAUAGAUCCUGAAACCGUAUGCGUACAAGCAGUGGGAGCCCACUUUGUUGGGUGACUGCGUACCUUUUGUAUAAUGGGUCAGCGACUUAUUUUCAGUGGCGAGCUUAACCGAAUAGGGGAGGCGUAGCGAAAGCGAGUCUUAAUAGGGCGUCUAGUCGCUGGGAAUAGACCCGAAACCGGGCGAUCUAUCCAUGGGCAGGUUGAAGGUUGGGUAACACUAACUGGAGGACCGAACCGACUACCGUUGAAAAGUUAGCGGAUGACCUGUGGAUCGGAGUGAAAGGCUAAUCAAGCUCGGAGAUAGCUGGUUCUCCUCGAAAGCUAUUUAGGUAGCGCCUCAUGUAUCACUGUAGGGGGUAGAGCACUGUUUCGGCUAGGGGGUCAUCCCGACUUACCAAACCGAUGCAAACUCCGAAUACCUACAAGUGCCGAGCAUGGGAGACACACGGCGGGUGCUAACGUCCGUCGUGAAAAGGGAAACAACCCAGACCGUCAGCUAAGGUCCCAAAGUCAUGGUUAAGUGGGAAACGAUGUGGGAAGGCUUAGACAGCUAGGAGGUUGGCUUAGAAGCAGCCACCCUUUAAAGAAAGCGUAAUAGCUCACUAGUCGAGUCGGCCUGCGCGGAAGAUGUAACGGGGCUCAAACCAUGCACCGAAGCUACGGGUAUCACCUUUGGUGAUGCGGUAGAGGAGCGUUCUGUAAGCCUGUGAAGGUGAGUUGAGAAGCUUGCUGGAGGUAUCAGAAGUGCGAAUGCUGACAUGAGUAACGACAAUGGGUGUGAAAAACACCCACGCCGAAAGACCAAGGUUUCCUGCGCAACGUUAAUCGACGCAGGGUUAGUCGGUCCCUAAGGCGAGGCUGAAAAGCGUAGUCGAUGGAAAACAGGUUAAUAUUCCUGUACUUCUGGUUAUUGCGAUGGAGGGACGGAGAAGGCUAGGCCAGCCUGGCGUUGGUAGUCCAGGUUUAAGGUGGUAGGCUGAGAUCUUAGGUAAAUCCGGGAUCUUAAGGCCGAGAGCUGAUGACGAGUGUUCUUUUAGAACAUGAAGUGGUUGAUGCCAUGCUUCCAAGAAAAGCUUCUAAGCUUCAGGUAACCAGGAACCGUACCCCAAACCGACACAGGUGGUUGGGUAGAGAAUACCAAGGCGCUUGAGAGAACUCGGGUGAAGGAACUAGGCAAAAUGGCACCGUAACUUCGGGAGAAGGUGCGCCGGUGAGGGUGAAGCAUUUACUGCGUAAGCCCACGCCGGUCGAAGAUACCAGGCCGCUGCGACUGUUUAUUAAAAACACAGCACUCUGCAAACACGAAAGUGGACGUAUAGGGUGUGACGCCUGCCCGGUGCCGGAAGGUUAAUUGAUGGGGUUAGCGCAAGCGAAGCUCUUGAUCGAAGCCCCGGUAAACGGCGGCCGUAACUAUAACGGUCCUAAGGUAGCGAAAUAACUUGUCGGGUAAGUUCCGACCUGCACGAAUGGCGUAACGAUGGCGGCGCUGUCUCCACCCGAGACUCAGUGAAAUUGAAAUCGCUGUGAAGAUGCAGUGUAUCCGCGGCUAGACGGAAAGACCCCGUGAACCUUUACUAUAGCUUUGCACUGGACUUUGAAUUUGCUUGUGUAGGAUAGGUGGGAGGCUUUGAAGCGUGGACGCCAGUCUGCGUGGAGCCAACCUUGAAAUACCACCCUGGCAACUUUGAGGUUCUAACUCAGGUCCGUUAUCCGGAUCGAGGACAGUGUAUGGUGGGUAGUUUGACUGGGGCGGUCUCCUCCUAAAGAGUAACGGAGGAGUACGAAGGUGCGCUCAGACCGGUCGGAAAUCGGUCGUAGAGUAUAAAGGCAAAAGCGCGCUUGACUGCGAGACAGACACGUCGAGCAGGUACGAAAGUAGGUCUUAGUGAUCCGGUGGUUCUGUAUGGAAGGGCCAUCGCUCAACGGAUAAAAGGUACUCCGGGGAUAACAGGCUGAUACCGCCCAAGAGUUCAUAUCGACGGCGGUGUUUGGCACCUCGAUGUCGGCUCAUCACAUCCUGGGGCUGAAGCCGGUCCCAAGGGUAUGGCUGUUCGCCAUUUAAAGUGGUACGCGAGCUGGGUUUAGAACGUCGUGAGACAGUUCGGUCCCUAUCUGCCGUGGACGUUUGAGAUUUGAGAGGGGCUGCUCCUAGUACGAGAGGACCGGAGUGGACGAACCUCUGGUGUUCCGGUUGUCACGCCAGUGGCAUUGCCGGGUAGCUAUGUUCGGAAAAGAUAACCGCUGAAAGCAUCUAAGCGGGAAACUUGCCUCAAGAUGAGAUCUCACUGGAACCUAGAGUUCCCUGAAGGGCCGUCGAAGACUACGACGUUGAUAGGUUGGGUGUGUAAGCGCUGUGAGGCGUUGAGCUAACCAAUACUAAUUGCCCGUGAGGCUUGACCAU